rnacentral:rRNA from 1 species
UACGUAGGGUCCAAGCGUUAUCCGGAAUCACUGGGCGUAAAGCGUGCGUAGGUGGAUGUUUAAGUGUGAUGUUAAAUCGUGUGGCUCAACCAUAUCGAUGUGUCGCAUACUGGGCAUCUAGAGGACAGCAGAGGCAAGUGGAAUUGGUAGUGUAGCAGUGAAAUGCGUAGAUAUUACCAGGAACACCAAUGGCGAAGGCAGCUUGCUGGGCUACUCCUGACACUGAGGUACGAAAGCGUGGGGAGCGAACAGG